CCAGCUCCAAUAGCGUAUAUUUAAGUUGUUGCAGUUAAAAAGCUCGUAGUUGGAUUUUGGGUUGGAGGAUUCGGUCUGCCGACAGGUUGAUACUGUCUCCUCCAUCCUUCUUGCCGGGAACGCGUCCUGGUCUUCACUGGCUGGGGCGCGGAGUCGGCGAUGUUACUUUGAAAAAAUUAGAGUGUUCAAAGCAGGCCUAUGCUCUGAAUACAUUAGCAUGGAAUAACGUGAUAGGACUCUGGUCCUAUUGUGUUGGUCUUCGGGACCGGAGUAAUGAUUAAUAGGGACAGUUGGGGGCAUUCGUAUUUCAUUGUCAGAGGUGAAAUUCUUGGAUUUAUGAAAGACGAACUACUGCGAAAGCAUUUGCCAAGGAUGUUUUCA
rnacentral:rRNA from 1 species